AUUUUGUAUAUAGUUGUCAAUUAAAGCUGUACUGAGAAGAGCUGAAUGUUGUGAAGAAGCCAGACAACGAGAUGAGAAGCUCCUGGGAUGAGUGACCAUCAGGCCAUCUGCAAAUUAACUGAGUGAAUUACCCUCGCCUGGCUUCUGCCUCAUCUGUUCCAUACCAAAUUAUAUCUACACGGUUCCUGCUGUCACAUACCUGCCUCAGGCAAAGCCUCCUGUUUGGAUUUUUCAUUCUUGUAUUUAUGGUUACCAUGAGCCUUGAGGUAAGUAAGAUUUUUAACAUUUUGAGAACUGCAAGAGAGGGGUAUUUUCUGUCCCACAUUAAAAUUGGUCACCCUUCCUCUAUUUUCACAACAGUAUGCUGACAGUUCUGUUGCUGUAUUUCAUUAACUUACUCAACAGUUAUUUACUGUCUACUAUGCAGUAGGUUAAUAGGCUAUAAAACCUUAGAGUACCAGUAAAUAACCUGUUUUACCCACAGGAGCUUAUGGGCUUCUUAAGGUCAUGGAGCAUAUCUUAUUUAUAUAUGCAUUGCCCACAGCUUCUAAUAUCAUACAAUAAACAUAUUAGAAACUUAAUGUUUAUUGAAUAGACAAAGCAUGAUCCAUCAGCUUCAAAGUGAUUCUUAAGCCUGAAGGAACCCAAGGGCACCUCUUGACAAGAAAUGAACAGAUUAAUUUACUACAAACUAUGACCAAAAUCCAUGCUUCAUUUUCAGGAAUAUUGAAUCUGUGUCACACAUUUGGGAAAAUCUCAGGCAUCAGGAAAGUGACUCACUGCUUGACAUCUCCCCUGGAGGUUUAAGCAAAGGCAAAUGAUUUGAGUACCUGGCCAAAUCUGAGCAUUCCUGCAGGGGAGGAGGAGUGGAGGUCUUUGGGAAAAUUUUGAGCAGCAUGAGAGUCUCCUCAGGAAGGAAGAUAGGAAGGAAUAAUGUCUGCAAGUUAGUAUAUGGUUGGAUGGACAGCCAAAUGGCUUGAUGGCAUAAGAGGAAAUAGUUCUUAAGGCCACCCUCCCCGCAAAACACACUUUCCCAUCCAUAUGACAGGACUGGGCUACUUACCAGUAGUUUGGUUUACCAGAUUGCAUGUCUGCUGAUGCAUGAAUGACAAGGAUAAAGCGAAGACUAGAAUUAUAUUAAUAUAUACAUUCCAUUAUACAUAUAGAUGUAGAUUGGUAUAGCUCUAUCUGUAGAUAUGGAUAUAGAUAAUACCAGUAUUGACUAGUUCUCUGUAGAAGAGUCAGCAUACAUUGGAGUGUACAUGAAUCAUUUGUGGUUUUUAAUGUGGUUGUCAUAAGAAAGACUGAUAUUUAAAGUUCAUAAAAUGAACACUGCAAGGAAGUAUCUUUUGUGAUUACCAAGAAAUUUCUUGGAACUUAUUGGAACAGGAAUCCACUGAGGUGUUUGUCUUUUUUUAUUUGUCGCCCCAAAUGCUGUCUUAAAUUACGUAAGUCCUAAAAAAAAUUUCCUCAUCUUACGGUGUUUCAGACUUUUUUAGAGAAUGAAAAUUAUACUGAUCAUUAUGCUUUAUAAUAAAAAUGUAGUAUAUUAUAUGUAAGAGUUGAGUGGCACGUGCCACUCAAUUCCUUAUUGAAUGCAGGUCACAUGCACGCACACACUUACACACACACGCACACACAAACAUAAAUACACAUACCAUGCACGUUGUAUUUUUAGGUAUUUUGUUAAUUUUAUU
ensembl:lncRNA